GCCGGGGUGGGGUAGCUUGGUUAUCCUACGGGACUGUGGAUCCUGUGACUCGGGUUCGAAUCUCGGCUCCGGCCCCA
rnacentral:tRNA from 1 species